GAAGUGCGAACCGAGCGGCUGCCUUGGCAGCGCGAGACUCGGAGUGGUCGUCAGCAAUGGCGACCUACA
rnacentral:ncRNA from 1 species